GCAGCACUUUAGGGGGUGCGAGCACCGGAGCACUUAGGGGGUGCGAGCACGGGAGUAGUUUAGGGGGUGCGAGCGCGGGAGCACUUUAGGGGGUGCGAGCGCGGGAGCACUUUAGGGGGGUGCGAGCGCGGGAGUAGUUUGGGGGUGCGAGCGCGGGAGCACUUUCGGGGGUGCCAGCACCGCAGCACUUUAGGGGGUGCGAGCACCGGAGCACUUAGGGGGUGCGAGCACCGGAGCACUUAGGGGGUGCGAGCACCGGAGCACUUAGGGGGUGCGAGCACCGGAGCACUUUAGGGGGUGCGAGCGCGGGAGCACUUUCGGGGGUGCCAGCACCGCAGCACUUUAGGGGGUGCGAGCACCGGAGCACUUUAGGGGAUGCGAGCGCGGGAGCACUUUCGGGGGUGCGAGCGCGGGAGCACUUUGGGGGUGCGAGCACAGCAGCACUUUCGGGGGUGCGAGCACAGCAGCACUGUAGGGGGUGUGAGCACCGGAGCACUGUAGGGGGUGUGAGCACAGCAGCACUUUAGGGACUGCAAGCGCGGGAGCACUUUAGGGGGUGCGAGCACAGGCGCUAACUCACUCCCGCGGGGCUCCCCAGUAAGACCGAGCUCAGGGUGCCUGGGGUGGAGGAGGACGAGCUGUGGCGUGGCGUGUGCACUUCCUUUGAGUCUCCGGGACAAGCCUUAGGGACCCCGUGGUGAUGACAGGUAGAGAGGAUCGCCCCCUCCCCCGUCAACCGGAAGGCGGUAGAAAGUUGUGAGAUUGCAACUUGGGGUACCUCUGCCUCUCGGUUCUCCCCAACCCCACCCCACCCCCGCAGUUGCAGCGUCAGCAGAGGGGUUUGCAAAGGACAGAGACCCGCUUGCCCAUCUCGAGGACCAGGGCGACCUUGCAAAAGCGGCAGAGUCAGUCCCCAGGGACAGGCGUCUCCCCACUUGUUGGCAGUGGGAGGGGACCGCGUUCACCCGGAAGGCUGCGGCUAAGGAAGCAGCUGACACACACAGGUAGCCAAAGUCUCCACCAGUGAGGGACGAGCGGGCGAGCCGGCCAGGGGCCCGAUGGAUAGGGUUGCUGGGGUGGGGAGUGAGUGACGCAGCAGCAGUGUCCACGUCGUCCACAAUGUGUUAGUCUUGUGUCAGGGUCGCUACAGAAAGUUGAGUCUGUGAUUCCGUGGGGACUGGGAUGGAACGAUAGUCUCGAUAGUCUCGUCUCCUCUCGAUAGUCUCGAUAGUCUCGUCUCCUCUCGUCUGGUCUCCUUCCCCCCAGCUUCUGAAGUCGUUGCUAAUGAAUUGAAAAAGUUCACUGAUUUGUUUAGGGAUGCAGGAAGGAGCAUGAGAUCAGAGUAAGGUCAACGUUUCUUAGUCAAAAUUACAAGCCCAGUCCUCUU
rnacentral:lncRNA from 1 species